GGGCCCGCACAAGCGGUGGAGCAUGUGGUUUAAUUCGACGCAACGCGAAGAACCUUACCUGGGCUCGAACGGUCGAUGCAAGCCGGUAGAAAUACUGGUCCUCCCGCAAGGGACGCCGACCGAGGUGCUGCAUGGCUGUCGUCAGCUCGUGUCGUGAGAUGUUGGGUUAAGUCCCGCAACGAGCGCAACCCUCGUCCUGUGUUGCUACUUCCUUCGGGAAGGCACCCUCAGGAGACCGCCAGCGAUAAGCUGGAGGAAGGUGGGGAUGACGUCAAGUCAUCAUGGCCUUUAUGUCCAGGGCUACACACGUGCUACAAUGGGCGGUACAACGCGCCGCAAGACCGCGAGGUCAAGCAAAUCGCUUAAAACCGCUCUCAGUUCGGAUUGCAGGCUGCAACCCGCCUGCAUGAAGCUGGAAUCGCUAGUAAUGGGGUAUCAGAACGAUCCCGUGAAUACGUUCCCGGGCCUU
rnacentral:rRNA from 1 species